rnacentral:tRNA from 1 species
UCCCUGGUGGCUCAGUGGUAAAGAACCCACCUGCAAUGCAGGUGACCCAGGUUCGAUCCCUGGGUUGGGAA